rnacentral:rRNA from 1 species
CCUGGCGUCAGGAUGAACGCUAGCGGCAGGCGUUAACACAUGCAAGUCGAGGGCGAUCGGGAGUAGCAAUACUGCCGGCGACCGGCGCAAGGGUGCGUAACGCGUGAGCAACAUGCCCGUAUCAGGGGGAUAAUCCAUGGAAACGUGGUCUAAUACCCAUAGUAAUUAUGUAAGGCAUCUUAUAUAAUUUAAAGCUUUGGUGGAUACGGAUUGGCUCGCGUGACAUUAGCUAGAUGGUAAGGUAACGGCUUACCAUGGCUACGAUGUCUAGGGGUUCUGAGAGGAAGGUCCCCCCACACUGGAACUGAGACACGGUCCAGACUCCUACGGGAGGCAGCAGUGAGGAAUAUUGGACAAUGGAUGGAAAUCUGAUCCAGCCAUGCCGCGUGCAGGGAAAAGACGGCCCUAUGGGUUGUAAACUGCUUUUGUAUGGGAGCAAUAAGGGCUACGCGUAGUCCGAUGAGAGUACCACACGAAUAAGCACCGGCUAACUCCGUGCCAGCAGCCGC